UUUGAGGGCUGAUUUGGAGUUUUAUUUGAUCGAUUUCAGGUUCGAGGAUCUUGAAGAUGGAGUUAUCUACGUUCGUUCUUCUCGUAAUGGCUUGUGGUUUGAGGGUGGGAGCUGAUGGAACCAAUCAUAGGUACAAAGAGGGUGAUCAUGUACCCCUAUAUGCCAAUAAGGUCGGACCUUUCCACAACCCCAGCGAUACAUAUCGUUACUAUGACUUGCCAUUCUGCUCACCAGAGCAUGUUACCGAAAAGACGGAAUCCCUUGGGGAAGUUCUAAAUGGUGAUCGUUUGGUCGAUGCACCGUACGAAUUAGAUUUUCUGGAGGAGCAGCAGUCAAACUCUCUUUGUAAAAAUAACUUGUCAAAUGAAGAUGUUGCAAAGUUCAGACAUGCUGUAUCAAAGGACUAUUACUUUGAAAUGUAUUAUGAUGAGCUGCCUUUAUGGGGUUUCCUGGGCAAGAUUGAGGGGGUCAAGUCUGAUUCGGGCAAAGACAAGUACUUUUUCUUUAAACACAUCCACUUCAAUAUCCUUUACAAUGAUGAUCGGGUCAUGGAGAUCAAUGUACAAACGGACCCCAAUAUUAAUGUGGAUAUCUCGGAGGAUAGGAAAUUGGAUAUCGAGUUUUUAUAGUCUGUGACAUGGAAAAAUACUGACAUAUCUUUUGAAGAAAGGAUGGCAAAGUACUCGAGGACAUCCUCUAUGCCUCAACAUUUAGAGAUUCAUUGGUUCUCAAUUGUUAAUUCAUGUGUGACUGUCCUUCUUCUGACUGGGUUUCUUGCUACGAUUCUCAUGCGUGUGCUCAAAAAUGAUUUUGUAAAAUAUUAUCUCAUUGAGGAGUCUCUUGAAGAUCAAGAGGAUUCUGGAUGGAAAUAUAUCCAUGGAGACGUCUUCCGAUUUCCAAAGUACAAGUCUUUGUUUUCAGCUAUUAUUGGUUCUGGAACUCAGCUCCUAGUGCUUACAAUGUUCAUCUUCCUUCUUGCACUUGUUGGUGUGUUCUACCCAUACAAUCGGGGAGCCCUUGACACAGCUCUUGUUGUCUUCUAUGCUCUGAAUUCUGGUAUCGCUGGUUACACAGCGAGCUCCUUCUAUAUGCAGCUCUAAGGGACUAAUUGGGUGAGGAAUUUGUUGUUGACUGGCUGCUUAUUUUGUGGUCCCUUGUUCUUGACAUUCUUCUUCCUGAACACUGUUGCUAUUACAUAUAGCGCAACUGCAGCUCUGCCAUUUGGAACCAUCCUUGUGAUUCUACUUAUAUGGGCAUUGGUUACUUCCCCUUUGCUCAUAUUGGGUUGGGUUGCUGGUAAAAACAGCAAAACUGAAUUCCAAGCUCCAUGCCGUACCAACACGUACCCAAGAGAAAUUCCUGAAUUGGCAUGGUAUCGAGGCACCAUACCUCAGAUGGCAAUGACAGGAUUCCUUCCUUUUAGUGCCAUCUAUGUAGAAGUAGAACUCUACUAUAUAUUUGCUAGAGUGUGGGGUCACAACAUAUAUACAAUAUAUAGUAUGCUUUUUAUUGUUUUCGUCAUUCUUAUAAUUGGCACAGUGUUCAUCACUGUUGCAUUGACAUAUUUCCAACUUGCAGCAGAGGAUCAUGGGUGGUGGUGGAGGAAAAAUGCAUUAGUUGGAAGGAAACUUGUGCUACGAAGGACUUGUAAUUGCUAUGGUUAUGGUGCCAAACAAAAUCAACUUUUUAGCAGUAAUCAUAAGUGGAGGUCACAGCUGUGUAUGACAGAGAAUUACAAGCUUUUAGAUCUUUCGGACUUCCUAAUCUAUGUCAUGUCAUCUGAGGAGCUUGAGGAUGUAUAUACGAAAAUCAACCUUGCUGUUUCUGACUAGAACCAUAAUAGAAUGGUGUCCCAUAUGCUGCAGAAAUCUUGUAUUAGCUGACUGCUGAGUAGCACAGCUCACAAUAAAGAUAUGACUAUUCAGGAUAUGGAGCAUCUAUUGGUAAGGUUUGCACAGCCGUCGAAUUAAUCUACCAUGCAUUUCUAUAUGGUGUUUAGCCAAGCGAAUACCACACAUAAGCAGAUAUCGAGACAGUGUACCAGUGUCUGCAAACAGAAUAUGGAGCCGGUCAGGAAGAUUUGAUCUUGUAUGGCCAAUCUGUCGGUUGCGGUCCCACAUUGCAUUUGGCAGCUCACUUGCCGAGACUGUGAGGCGUAGUACUUCACAGUGCUAUACUGUCAGGUCUUCGUGUGGUUUGCCAUUUGAAAUUCUCGUUCUGCUUUGACAUUUAUAAAGUGUGCCUCUUGCUUUGAGUCUUUGACCACAAUCUUUUUACUCGUACUCUUAGAUUGGUCAGUGAUUUUAGCUACUAAUUGGUCUGCCUUUUGAUGCAGAACAUUGACAAAAUUAAAAAGGUCAAGUGCCCAGUUUUUGUAAUUCA